GAUGAACGCUGGCGGCGUGCCUAAUACAUGCAAGUCGAGCGAACAGACGAGGAGCUUGCUCCUCUGACGUUAGCGGCGGACGGGUGAGUAACACGUGGAUAACCUACCUAUAAGACUGGGAUAACUUCGGGAAACCGGAGCUAAUACCGGAUAAUAUAUUGAACCGCAUGGUUCAAUAGUGAAAUACGGUUUUGCUGUCACUUAUAGAUGGAUCCGCGCCGCAUUAGCUAGUUGGUAAGGUAACGGCUUACCAAGGCAACGAUGCGUAGCCGACCUGAGAGGGUGGUCGCCGACAUUGGAACGGAGCCACGGUCAAUGGUCCUACGGGAGGCAGCAGUAGGGAAUGUUCCGCAGUAGGCGAGAGCCUUGCAGAGCAACGCGGAGGCAGAGAUGACAGCCCUCGGAGCGUAAAGCCCUGUUAUUAGGGAAGAACCAAUGUGUAAGUAAACGUGGCCGUCUUGACGGUAACUGAUCAGAAAGCCACGGCUAACUACGUG
rnacentral:rRNA from 1 species